rnacentral:tRNA from 1 species
GCGGGUGUAGCGCAGCGGUAGCGCAUCUGCUUCCCAAGCAGAGAGUCGUGGGUUCGAAUCCCAUCACCCGCUCCA